rnacentral:lncRNA from 1 species
AUGCUGCUUCUAAUAUCUAAUAAGAAGAUGGUGUGUAUUUUAUGUUUCACCUGGACAUCCCCUCUGGAGACAACAGAACAAAUUCCUUGCCUAAGUAUUUUCUUGUACCUAUAUCCUCAAUACUUGAAAAGCUGGAGGUCCUUGCAAAACAUUUUGAGUAUUUUCUUUCCAGUUUACAGGCUUCUGUGUACCUUGAGAAUAUCUUGAGUAUGUAGGAACUUUACCAAACAAAUUGCUUAUUAAAGAAAAUAAUCUAACAUUAAUUAUUCUCUAUUAUUCUGAGAACACAAUGUCUUUAUCGCCUCCUUUUCUAUAUAUAUAAAAAUGUAAUGUGCUGUUUUACUAUGGAGUAAACAGAAAAACCACUGAACCAAAUCACACCAAAUUUGGCGACAAAAGACUUAAGUCAUCCAGUCUAUGUCUUUCAAGCAAAAAAACUAGAAAAAUAAAGCCCAAAUUAGAGGACAAGAAAGAGCAGUUUUUCCCCCUUUUAGAAACAGUUCAGAACGGUAGGCCCCGCCCCUUUAGGCCCCGCCCACUUCAUAUCCUAGCAAUUCCCUCAGCCAAAAUGGCGCCCAGGGCACAAGCAGAGUGCACUUAGACUCAUCCACACUGCCUAUAAAAUACAGAUUAUCUGAUUUGAACUGGGUUAUAUGGCAGUGUAGACUCAAGUCCCUCCCACACAGCCAUAUAAACCAGAAUGCCAAGGCACAUAAUCCACAGUAUCUGCUUUGAACUGGAUUAUCUUGAGUCCACACUGCCAUUUAGCCCAGUUCAGUGUGGAUUUUAUACAGCUGUGUAGAAGGGGCCUCAUAUAAUCCAGUUCUAAGCAGAUGAUAUAAGAUUAUAAAUAUAAUAUAUAAUAUUUACUGUGGUAUAAUAAUACACAACAAUAUAAUCUCUAAAAUCAGGACGGUAAAUAAAGAGCAACACUCUGAAAACGGAAAUUCCAGACAGGAAACAAUCAGGGCCAGCUAACACCUCCCAACAAAGGAUUCUCCCAGGCAGGAAGUAUCCAGGCUUUGAAGCUACAAGGCCAUUAAAUGCUAAUCAAGGUGACUAAUUGCAGCAUUCAUACCAAGACUAUUAAUUGCUAUCCAACCUGGGCAAGCAAGGAUUCCACAAGGUAGAAAGCAGCCAGGCUUUUAAGCUGCAAGACUAUUCAGUGCAAUUCAAACUGGCCAAACAAUGAUAGCCCUACAAAGGAAGUAGCCAGGCUUCAAAGCGGCUCUUUGAUUGAGGGUGCUACUCCAGCUCACCAAACAAGGAUUCCCCUAGCUAUAACACAGCCAGGCAUUGAAGCUGCAAGGCUAUUCAGUGCAAUUCAAUCAGAUCAACAAAGGAUUAACCCUGGUAGAAGGCUGCCAGGCUUUUAAGCAGCAAUACUACUCUGUACUAUUGAAGCUGACCAACCAAAGAUCCCACUAGAUAGCAAGCAGCCAGGCUUUGAAGCAGCGAGGCUAUUUAUUGCAAUUCUAGCAGCCCAAAAAACCAUUUCCCUAGAACGCAAGUACCCAGCCUCUCACGCAGCAAGCCUAUUCCAUUGUAUUCCAGCUCACCAAACAAGGAUUUCCAUAAGAAGAAAACAGCCAGGCUUUGAGGCUGCAAGGCUAUUCACCGCUAUUCCACCUGGCCAACAAAUGAUUUCCAUAAGCCACAGCAAUACGUGGCCGGGCACAGCUAGUAAUAUACAUUAAGGAAGUGAGAAGAAAUUUUGAUUUUGCUCAUAUUUUAAAAACAAUGAUUUAUCUAUUGCCCAUGAAGAUACAGCUAUCGAAAGCCAACUCGACAUAACAAGACAGCUAUGGUAUUCCCUGCUUGAAGUCAUCUCUCAUCUUCCUAGUUCCAGUACCUAGAGAACUGCUCUAGAGCACAAUUUGUAGAGACUUUCAUCUCCUUCCCGCUGCAUACUCAAUUUUGUGCAAAGAAUAGGCUAUGCCUCUUAUGUUUUAUAUAUGACUAAGACAAAGAAAUGCAUAAAUUAUAUGCAGUUGCCCUCAUAUUUUUGGCUAAGUUGUAAGAAAAAAAUCUUUCUUUAAUUCAAUUAGUCUGGCUAUGGCCAAAACAGUCACUUAGGCUCUUGCAAGGAGUAUGUAUUUGUCACCUCAAAUUUUUGACUCUUACAACAAGAUCAUAUAACAAACUAAUUUUAAAAGCCCUUUCUGUUUGAACAUGUUUGCAGUUUGCAAUACAGAACAAUGGGAGAGACAAAUCUAAAAUUGUUUUUGGUUCUCACAUAUAAUUUCACGGUAAUUUAAUCUGGGCCUUUGUCAUUCCAGCUGCUAGAAUAUCACCCUAUUGAUACAGUAUCCUGGGGAAUGAUAAGGCUGAGUGGCUGGAUUCUUGAACAGCAGUAUUCCAGGUGUGCAAAUCCUAUG